rnacentral:sRNA from 1 species
UAAGGUUCGACUCGAGCGAAGCGAGAGAACGUUGCCGCAGGCAACGGCCCGAAGGGCGAGGAGCGAUAGCGACGAGUUAUCCUUCCCCCACCACCA